rnacentral:rRNA from 1 species
UUAGUAACGGCGAGUGAAGCGGGGUGAGCUCAAAUUUAAAAUCUGGCUGGUUUACUAGUCCGAAUUGUAGUUUAUAGAAGCGUUUUCGGUGGCAGCCUGGGUAUAAAUCCUUUGGAAUAGGGUAUCAUAGAGGGUGAGAAUCCCGUCUUUGACCUAGUGCAUGCUACUAUGUGAUACGUUUUCAAAGAGUCGAGUUGUUUGGGAAUGCAGCUCAAAAUGGGUGGUAAAUUUCAUCUAAAGCUAAAUACAGGCGAGAGACCGAUAGCGAACAAGUACCGUGAGGGAAAGAUGAAAAGAACUUUGAAAAGAGAGUUAAACAGUGCGUGAAAUUGUUGAAAGGGAAACGUUUGACACCAGUUAUGCGGAUGGCAAAUCAGUCAAUUGCUGUAGGGAGUGGUAGGGGUUCGGACCGCAAGGCCGGCCUGUGCCUCAUUUUUGCAGUAAUUGAUGCACUUUGUCAUUUGCAGGUCAACAUCAGUUUCUUCUGCUGGACAAAACUCCAAGAGAAGGUAGCAGCUUUGGCUGUGUUAUAGCUCUGGAGCGAUACAGUGGUGGGGACUGAGGAUUUCGCAGUGUGUGCUCUCGGGCAAGGCCGACUGGGUGCUAUGGGAUCGUUCAGCGUACAAUGCAUGCAUUUUGCGCUGUGUCUUUUUCAUACUCGCUCAGCUCGGCUCUUCCACACUUAGGAUGUUGACUUAAUGGUUUUAAACGACCCGUCUUGAAACACGGACCAAGGAGUCUAACAUAUAUGCGAGUGUUUGGGUGGCAAACCCAUACGCGUAAUGAAAGUGAACGUAGGUGCGAUCCGCAAGGUGCAGCAUCGACCGAUCUUGAUAUUUUUGGAUAGAUUUGAGUAAGAGCAUAUAUGCUGGGACCCGAAAGAUGGUGAACUAUGCCUGAAUAGGGUGAA